GACAGCUUGGACCAGCGGUUAAGGCGAUAGACUCGAAAUCUAUUCGGGUAACCCGUGUGAGUUCAAGUCUCACAGCUGACG
rfam:Hyaloperonospora arabidopsidis Emoy2 Contig182.0, whole genome shotgun sequence.